rnacentral:rRNA from 1 species
GGGGAAUAUUGCACAAUGGGCGAAAGCCUGAUGCAGCAACGCCGCGUGAGGGACGACGGCCUUCGGGUUGUAAACCUCUUUUAGUAGGGAAGAAGCGAAAGUGACGGUACCUGCAGAAAAAGCACCGGCUAACUACGUGCCAGCAGCCGCGGUAAUACGUCGGGUGUAAGCGUUAUCCGGAAUUAUUGGGCGUAAAGAGCUCGUAGGCGGUUUGUCGCGUCUGCUGUGAAAACCCGAGGCUCAACCUCGGGCCUGCAGUGGGUACGGGCAGACUAGAGUGCGGUAGGGGAGAGUGGAAUUCCUGGUGUAGCGGUGGAAUGCGCAGAUAUCAGGAGGAACACCGAUGGCGAAGGCAGAUCUCUGGGCCGUAACUGACGCUGAGGAGCGAAAGCAUGGGGAGCGAAC